rnacentral:rRNA from 1 species
AAUGGGGUAGUCGAUGGACAAUUGGUUAAUAUUCCAAUACUUGUAUUUAUUGCGAUGGGGUGACGGAGUAGUGAAAGUCCUGCGUACUGACGGAAUAGUACGUUAAAACUUGUAGGUAUAAGAUUCGUAGGUAAAUCCGCUUAUCUUGCUGAAAGUGAUAGUACUCUAAGUCUUCGGACGAGGAGAUAUGGACCUAAUCAGACUUCCAAGAAAAACCUCUAAGUAAUGUAUGUGGUACCCGUACCGUAAACCGACACAGGUAGUCGAGGAGAGUAUCCUCAGGCGCUCGAGUGAUCCGUGGCUAAGGAACUAGGCAAAAUGGCCCUGUAACUUCGGGAGAAGGGGCGCUUCCUCUGUAAAGAGAAGCCGCAGUGAAUAGGCCCAGGCGACUGUUUAUCAAAAACACAUGGCUUUGCAAAAUCGAAAGAUGAAGUAUAAGGCCUGACACCUGCCCGGUGCCGGAAGGUUAAGUGGAGAUGUUAGCUUCGGCGACGCAUUCAAAUGAAGCCCCGGUAAACGGCGGCCGUAACGAUAACGGUCCUAAGGUAGCGAA